rnacentral:lncRNA from 1 species
CCCCAACAAUUACAGACCAGCAGCUUGCCUUCUGCCAGUCAUUUUUCACAGUUAAGCUGUAUGCCUUCCCUUAUUGCACAGCAACAGCAGAGUCCACAAGUUUAUGUGUCUCAGUCGGCAGCAGCUCAAAUCCCAGCCUUCUAUAUGGAUACAAGUCAUUUAUUCAAUACCCAGCAUGCGCGAUUGGCUCCGCCAUCCCUGGCCCAGCAGCAGGGCUUCCAACCUGGUCUGUCGCAGCCAACAUCCGUUCAGCAGAUUCCAAUCCCUAUCUAUGCCCCACUACAAGGGCAGCAUCAAGCCCAGCUGAGUUUGGGGGCUGGGCCUGCUGUUUCCCAGGCUCAGGAAUUAUUCAGUUCUUCAAUUCAACCAUAUAGGUCGCAGCCAGCCUUUAUGCAAAGCAGCCUUUCCCAGCCUUCUGUGGUCCUCUCUGGUACAGCUCUCCACAACUUCCCAGCAGUCCAGCACCAGGAGCUUGCCAAGGCACAGUCAGGUCUUGCCUUUCAGCAGACUUCAAAUACUCAGCCCAUCCCUAUACUGUAUGAACAUCAGCUGGGUCAGGCAUCAGGACUAGGAAGUUCUCAGCUGAUUGAUACACAUCUUCUUCAGGCAAGAGCAAAUCUUACUCAAGCGUCAAAUCUUUACUCUGGACAAGUACAGCAGCCUGGUCAGACAAAUUUUUAUAACACUGCCCAAUCACCAAGUGCUCUCCAGCAGGUUACAGUACCAUUACCAGCAUCCCAGCUUUCCUUGACUAAUUUUGGAUCUACA